rnacentral:rRNA from 1 species
UACGAAGGGGGCUAGCGUUGUUCGGAAUUACUGGGCGUAAAGCGCACGUAGGCGGAUAUUUAAGUCAGGGGUGAAAUCCCAGAGCUCAACUCUGGAACUGCCUUUGAUACUGGGUAUCUUGAGUAUGGAAGAGGUGAGUGGAAUUCCGAGUGUAGAGGUGAAAUUCGUAGAUAUUCGGAGGAACACCAGUGGCGAAGGCGGCAUCCUGGACCGGCAUUGACGCUGAGGCGCGAAAGCGUGGGGAGCAAACAGG